AAACUUUUAACAACGGAUCUCUUGGUUCUGGCAUCGAUGAAGAACGCAGCGAAAUGCGAUAAGUAAUGUGAAUUGCAGAAUUCAGUGAAUCAUCGAAUCUUUGAACGCACAUUGCGCCCGCCAGCAUUCU
rnacentral:rRNA from 1 species